AUUGAACGCUGGCGACAUGCCUUACACAUGCAAGUCGAACGGCAGCACGGGUGCUUGCACCUGGUGGCGAGUGGCGAACGGGUGAGUAAUACAUCGGAACAUGUCCUGUAGUGGGGGAUAGCCCGGCGAAAGCCGGAUUAAUACCGCAUACGAUCUACGGAUGAAAGCGGGGGACCUUCGGGCCUCGCGCUAUAGGGUUGGCCGAUGGCUGAUUAGCUAGUUGGUGGGGUAAAGGCCUACCAAGGCGACGAUCAGUAGCUGGUCUGAGAGGACGACCAGCCACACUGGGACUGAGACACGGCCCAGACUCCUACGGGAGGCAGCAGUGGGGAAUUUUGGACAAUGGGCGAAAGCCUGAUCCAGCAAUGCCGCGUGUGUGAAGAAGGCCUUCGGGUUGUAAAGCACUUUUGUCCGGAAAGAAAUCCUUGGCCCUAAUACGGUCGGGGGAUGACGGUACCGGAAGAAUAAGCACCGGCUAACUACGUG
rnacentral:rRNA from 1 species